GCCACGUGGCAGGUGGUAUCCAGUUACCCCAAGGUCCUGGCCGUGCUCCUCCGAGCUGCUGCAAAGAUCACCCUCCUGGCCGGAUCCAGGACACAGGAUCCUUCCUGCGGGUCCUGGCUCUUGCUCUGGGUGACAGACCCCCAUGGCAUCUGCCCCAGCAAAAGGGACUUGAGGACAACCUCUCACUUACUGACAUCAGCCCCUCUGCCCCGCCCCAGCUCCCUUUUUGCCUCCAGAAAACUUUGAACAGAAGUGGCACUUAAGUGCAGUUCUGCACAUGCUGAAGUGGCAGGAAGGUGACCCACAUGUUGCUCUAGGCACAUGUGCAGCAAGGACAAAGGAAGUGUUUGAGGGGCUGGCUCUCAAGGCAUUCACUCAUGCAAUAGGAGCCCUGUUUCUGAGAGGCACAGCCAAGAGUGGAGCAGUCAAGCGUGGAGAACGGGGGAUCUCCUGAGCCAGGGAAACCCUGGGGGAGCAGAGAGACGCAGAUACCGGGCAGACCCCAAGUGACACCUGCUGCUGGCGCACAGGCACCGCGGGGACACGCACACUUUGGGGUGAGCUUGCUGUGCUUUACUGCAGUAUGCAGCACACAGGCAUUCCGUUUCUCAGAAAUCAUUAAAUAUGUAUAAAUUGCUUGAGUCUGCACAGUUAGUUUCUGAGGGUCUACUGGGGAUCUUUAGAGACCCUGGGUGUUCACUGAGCUUUUGGCCUUUUGUUGACCUUUCAUUGUGGUCUUCCAUAUAGUAGUCAUUUUCAUCUUGGUUGUCUGAGCAGCAGAAUGUGUUCUGGAAGAAACUGUGUUGUUCUGGCUUGGCUUGGGACAUAGAGGGUUUCAGAGCUUUCAGUGUUCCACUACCCACUCCUCCCUCAUAAGCUAUUUGCAACAAUCCCUCACAGAGAUCCUUUCAAGAUUUGUCUUGGAAGUCUCACUUCUAAAACUAAUUUUCUUUUCUAGGAUAAGAAUGUUUGUUAUUACAAAUAUUUGCAAACCAUCUCAUGAAAGCUGAAAUACAAUGAAUUAUCACGCAGAAAAAAAUGCAAACAGUCACAAUUCCAGCACGGGUUAGAAAUACUUCUGUAAGCCUUUAAAGGUCUGGUAGCCAUGAGGAAAGCCAGUUCCACCUAGAGUGGGGACUUCUAGUCUUCUCCCAUUCUUACACUCCUUUUUCUGACUGAUGAUAUGCCAGAUUGCUGGAUAUCAAAUCAACCAGCAUUCUUGUAACAAAUCCAGCAAUUUGUAACCUUUACUCAGGGCUCAAGGCAGUAGCUGUCUUUAGCACCACGUCUUUUGUUCCAGGAGUACCACCUGUUACUUUCAGUUUCUGUUCAGGGAUAACCAGUGACCUCCUUUUUGUGCUGAACCAGACGUAACCAUGUUGGGCACAUAAACUAUCACUUUUCUUUCCCAUUUAUUUUCAAGUAUAUUCUAUCAAUCAGGACCAUGGUGGUUCCUGCUCUGAGGUGCACUGACCAUGCCUUGAGUACAUUUUUUAGUUAUUUUUUGAGAAAUACGCCCAAAAUACCACAGGGUUUCUUCCUUCGUUCCCAUUCUUUGAGCUAAAUAUGGGGCUACUGUGCAGGGCAAAGGCACUCAUGGAUGAACAGUGCAAAGGGUUCCAUCAAAUCUGGUAACUCCAGAGCAGGGGUUGUCAUCAAUAACCUUUAAAAGGUAUGGAAAGGCUGUUGGACAUUCGAGUCCAGUGUAACAACCUCCAUGGAUUCCUUUCAUGGUUCAUACAAAGACUUUUCCAACAGUCCCUAACUGGGGCUCCAUAAUCAACACAAACCAGUCAUUCCCAAAAAGGCACGCAGUUCUUUUACAGAUCUGGGCUCUGGUGUUUGACAAAUUGAUUCCUCCCUUUGUGUCCCCAGACUACACUGUCCUUGUGAGUGUGGCAGCCAGGAGAUGAGACAUGGGUAGAUAUAGACAUGGACUUCAAAACUAACACAAGAUAUCAUUGAAAAUGAACUUUGGAUGGUAAUAUUCAACACAUUUUAACCUACAUGCUUUAUUAUUUCUCCCUGUAAUGCCUGGACAACUUAUGGCUAGCACUUAUUUUUGGUGCCAGCUGACUGAAAUCUGGACUAAUCUUGGGUAUGGGGGAAAUGACAAUAAAACCAUCAUAAAUUGAAUAUAAAAUGUUUUUCUACAUGUGUCAAUAACUUCAAUGGCCACUUGCAGUCAGCACAAAUGUCAGCCUAGAAUUUUGCUCGGGGCCAGCACUGGCCUUUCCAUGUCAGCUCCUCCUGCAGAGGCUGUGGGGGCCUGGGCAUGCUGCUGGCUUGUUUCCUUUUAGGGGACUGGGAUGAGGAAAGGUCGGGGGAUUUUGUCAAAGAGAUGAUGUUUGAGUGACCGUGUACGUGCUGGAAGCCUCACAGACUGAAGGGCCCAGGACAGGAGUGCCCAGUGCUGGGAGGGCUGCACCUUGCUGCCCUGGUAAGAGGUGUUAAGCUGCUCCUUCGCCUCCGAGAGAGCCAAGUGCAGCACGUUAGAGCAGAAACCCUUCACUAGGCCUGGUUUGCACAGCUGCAGCACCUGGGGUUGGUGGAGUGCCCCUUUCUGCACUUGGAAAUGAGCUGAGUCAGUCAUGGGCCAGGCAGGGCAUUCCCCACCUGUGCCCAUUGUGAAUUCCCUCUGCCCCGACUGUGACACGUCCCGCUCCUCAGUGACAUCCCGCCCAGCCUGGAACAUGGAACUCCCCGUUUCCAAGGACACGUGGCCAUUGUCACCGGCACACGGCAGGACCGCUCAGACCCUUCGGCGGCUGCAGCCAGAGCGGAGGUGUCAGAGCGACAGCGAGUGUUGUUCCAGCUUUGGUGGUUCCAGCACUCGUUGUUCAAGAGGCCGAUCCACACACUGAGUGGAGCCAAAUGCCAGCGAGGUGUCGCACAAUGGAAGUGUGCAGGAUGUCAAAUUGUAUAACCCACUUGGAGGUAUGGUUGCCUUUCAUAUUUUGCUCAAUGUCUGUAAGAUUUUCACCUUGGCAAUUCAUUUUUGCAGCAUAUUUUUGGGAGAGGGAAUCUCUUGUGUUCAGAGCUCUCAGCUGGAGGUGGUUUGGCCUCAGGUCAGCCUUGCAGUCUCUUGUCAGUUCAUUCAGGCACUGGUUUGUUUUCCCCUGAGAAAGCCUGCCAGUCCUUCCUUGUUCCCAUACUCCUUGAUGGGCUGGAAUUUGGAGCAUGGAGGUCAAGAUUUGGACCACCUUAUGCACUUAAAUUCACAGUUUUGGUAGCUAAUGUUUUUGAUUUACAAUUAGAUUUUGGAGUACCUAGGCAUUGUGCCUAUCCAUAAGAAUUAAUUGCAAAUUGAAAGAAAAAAUGACUGAGAGGAAGUCGCAUGGAGAAUUUCCAUAAAGUCAUUGUGGAGAACCAUGCUUGAUUUAAUUUUUUUGGUCUUGGUCAUUAAUAAGUCACUGUUAUCAUAUUACUGUGUUGGGUUCUUUUCAAGGAAAUUGGAAGGAAGGCAUUGGUGUCAUCUUCCCAGUGGAUUCCAUCACUUCCCACAAAGCACAAUGUGCUUAGGGGCUGCCAUUUGUUGUUAACCUGUUCUGAGUGCUGUUUCCCCAAGGAGCCUGGCUCCAGGCAGACACCAGGUGCACAUUCUCCUUGCAGGCACUCUGUGGUGCUGCCUGCAGCAGUGAGGUGCUACCUGAGCCAGGUACAGCCAGCUGCCCUGAGAAAAACAGGCUCUCACCUGGCUGUGGCUGCAGUCACCUGCCUGCAGGGACAUCUCUGCCCCUGCACAUGCAGCUCUUGCUCUGCCUUAGCCUAGUGCAGAGCAUUUUAAGGCAGCACCCUUGGUGGCUUUUUGGAGAGACAACGCUAAACUUCUGAAUUCCUCAUUCAGGACAUUCUGUUUCACAUGUGAAUGAAGAUUUGUGUGAUUCUUGGUGGUGGUCUACAUAAAUCCUAAGGGAAUAUUUAACAUUCAGUAACUGGGGUCUGAGGACUGGCAGUAGUGAGACGAUUGUGGAACUUGGGGCCACUUCUACUUUGGGCUGGCACAGAGAAUCUCAGGUGAGACAGCUCUGGUUGCUGAUAGGGUAGAGCGUGCCUUUGCAACGUGCUCCAUGCAGUAUCAGUUUGGGACUGGUGUUUGUCACAGAAUCAGAGAAUAUGUGAUUUGGAAGGGAUCCACAAGGACAUGCAAGUGCAGCUCUGUCCCCAAGAAUCCCACCAGGUACCUGUGGACCUUGUCCAAAUGCUUCAUGAGCUCUGCUGGACUUGGUGCCCUGAGCCCACUAAGGGAGCCUGUCCCAAUGCCUGACUACCCUGUGGUGAAGAACUCUUACCUACUUUUCAUCCUGAUGCUUGGUUAUGGUUUCAGGUAAUUUUCAUUAGAAGUCAUUCAGGGGUAUCAUUUUGGGAGGUCUUUUGCUUGAAUGCUGUGGGAAGUCUCUGUACCUACAUCGGAUUGAGCUUCUCAAAACACCAGCAGUGCCCCCACUCAAUAACUGGCAUGUUUACCUUGUUCUAAGUAAUUGAAGUGUGUGAUGUUUGUGUCAUUAGGUUUGCAGGCACAUAUCAGAGAGGCAUGGUCCAAAGAACAGGAAGUGGAGAAAGGCAUUAAAAGUUUGACCUACAUUGAAAGAUUGAAGGAGCGUGUAAAGAAAGUGAAAAUACCAGAGCUCAGGAGAGCCCCAUGCAGCUCUCCAGAUCUUGUGCCUGAGAGGAAGAGAACGAUGCCCACGAACCCUGCCAAAUUCUUCCAGAGACUUUCCAGGACUGUUUCCCAACGACCCAUCAGAGACAGGGUGAUUCAUUUACUGGCUCUCAAGAAUUACAAGAAGCCAGAGCUACUUUCCCACUUAGAAAGAGAGGGAGUUGUGCAAAAGGACAAGGAAUCUCUUGGAAAGAUCCUUCAGGAGGUAGCCAACCUGGAUGCAAAUGAGAAUUCUUUCAGCCUGAAGGAACAUUUCUUUAAAGACAUCCAGGAAGAUUGGCCUGGCUACACUGAAAGAGAUAGACAGACAUUGGAGGUGACCCUUUCUCAAAAACCAACUCCAUCUCAGAAUUCCACCAGCACCAGCCAGUCACCAUCUCUGGGACCUUCUGAAGGAGAUACUCCACCCAGAACUGCUCAGAAACGGCCUCUGGAUUCUGACUUUCUCAGUCCUGUGAUGGGCAAGAAGCAGAGGAUUGACCAAGAGCCCAGUGAUGUCCAGCCAGCAGCUGGUGGCCACUCUCCUUCUUUCUUGGACCUGCCUUCCAGAUCCUGUUCAAUUUUGAACAUGUCUCCAAGUGUCAGAUCCAUUUCCGUUUCCACCGAAGUACAACUGAAAAAUAAGGUUCUGACACAUUCUGGAUUCCCAGUGUCUGCCAGGGUGCAGGGGAAGACUCCCAAGUCCAAAGGAGAAGAAGCAGAGGUCAGAGGAGCCCAACAAAACAAUCCAGGUCCUGUGCCUGAGAAGAAGAGGAUGGUGCCUAUGAGACUUGCAGACAUCGACUGGAGCAGCUGCGCUGCUGUUUACAGCCGACCCUACAGGGACAGGGUGAUUCAUCUGCUUGCUCUGAGGGAUUACAAGGAGCCAGAGUUACUUGCUCGGCUGCAGAGAGAUGGAGUCAGGCCAAAGGACAAGGAUUCCCUUGGAAAGAUCCUUCAGCAGGUAGCCAACGUGAAUGCAAAGGAGAAUUCCUUUAGUCUGAAGGAACAUCUGUUUCAAACCCUUCAGAGUGAUUGGCCUGGCUACAGUAAAAUCGAAAGAAAGAGUUUGAAGUCAAUACUUUCUAGAAAAUCAGCUCCAUCUCAGAACCCCACCAGCAGCAGCCAAGCAACAUCUCCAAGGCCUUCUGAGACAGAUGCUCCAGCAAGACCUGCUCAGAUACGGCCUUGGGCUUCUGGCUUUAUCAGUCCUGUCAGGAGCAAGAAGCAGAGAACUGAGCAGUAGCCCAGUUACAUCCAGGCAGCAGCUGGUGGCCACUCUUCUUCCUGGGUGCUGGCUUUAACAUUCCAUUCUAUGGGGAUGUCAAAGCCAUCCCUGUAGAAUGGGAUGUCAAAGCCAGCACCUUGUCUCCAAGUCUGGGCUCCAUUUCCCCUGCACCCUUUAGGUUCAAGAAAAAGACAAAUGUUGGAGUUCUAGAAUGCCAGCAGUUGUGUAGAGGACUAGCAUGUCCAAAAAGAUGUGAAGAGAGCUGGGGAGGCUGAAGCAGUAGUGUCCCUUGGAUUUCAAUGAAGGGUAGCCCCAGCUACUCCGAGAUGAAGAGCAGGUGCCACAGGAGCAGUAGCUCCACAAAAAGCUGUCCCACAUUCAGCAAUGAGUAUCUGAAUUUGGCAAGCAGCAAGUCCUGGAGUCCUGGCACCAGUCUUCUGCUUCAGCAAAGGAUCAUCUAUGAGCUCCAGCUGUUUUAUUUUAAAAGAUGAUUAGCUUUUUAGGUUUCUUCAAGUUAGUAAUAAGGAGAUGAUUAUUUGUUUAAAAUGUAGGAUUAGUUAGUCUACGAUUAGAGACUUUAGUAUUGAACUUUAGCAAUAAAAAAGUUGCAUUAUUGUUAACUCCUUCUCUUAUCAUCAGUUUUAUCAUAUUUGGAGAGUCUUUCUUCUGGUCAAUUCUUCUCUUCAAGACUUAGCUCUGUCCACUGAAUGAAACUUAUCAGUAGAGAAUGGAAGCCCAGUACCUUUAUUAUAAAAUUGUGCACAUAUUAAGAAAAUAUUGUAGCAAAUGGAAUUUCUUUAUGACAAGAAUAAGCCUGUUUUCUGAUUUACUUGUUAAUUUAAAAUCUUUGCCUUAAGGGAUGGAAAGGGUAGAGGACAA